GCGCGCGACGCCAUGGAUGGGAAGAGUAAUAAUCAUCAUGAUCUUUUUGCGAAUGAGAACGAAGAGAAAGAGGUAUUCUUGAGUCUUGAACCCUAAUUUUGUUGGAAAGAAUGAUGUGCGAUGUGGUGCGAUACUUUCUCUCUCAAGUAAGACCAUUGAUCGAGGGAGAUUUUCGCAAAUCCCAGCGUCACCUUCACUUGGUGAAA